UACGUAGGGUCCAAGCGUUAUCCGGAAUCACUGGGCGUAAAGCGUGCGUAGGCGGCGUGUUAAGUGAGAUGUUAAAUCGUGUGGCUCAACCAUAUCGAUGCAUCUCAUACUGGCAUGCUAGAGGAAGGCAGAGGCAAGUGGAAUUGGUAGUGUAGCAGUGAAAUGCGUAGAUAUUACCAGGAACACCAAUGGCGAAGGCAGCUUGCUGGGCCUUUUCUGACGCUGAGGUACGGAAAGCGUGGGGGAGCGAACAGG
rnacentral:rRNA from 1 species